GAACGGAUGUAAAAAUCCUGUAAACUUGAAAGUGUGAUAGGAUUGCCGCAGGUAAGAAACAUAUUUCGACAAAUGAGUCAUAUCCAACCAAGAGACACACCAAGUAAAUGGUUCCACAGAUAAGCAUAAUAGCAGAAGUAAAGAAUGGAAUGCCUUCCCACCAUUGCCCCACCCUUGUUGGCAAUCCUGCCUCGGUAACGA
rnacentral:misc_RNA from 1 species